CCUACGGGAGGCAGCAGUGGGGAAUAUUGGACAAUGGGGGGAACCCUGAUCCAGCCAUGCCGCGUGUGUGAAGAAGGCCCUCGGGUUGUAAAGCACUUUCAGUGAGGAAGAACGCCUGGUGGUUAAUACCCAUCAGGAAAGACAUCACUCACAGAAGAAGCACCGGCUAACUCCGUGCCAGCAGCCGCGGUAAUACGGAGGGUGCGAGCGUUAAUCGGAAUUACUGGGCGUAAAGCGCGCGUAGGUGGCUUGAUAAGCCGGUUGUGAAAGCCCCGGGCUCAACCUGGGAACGGCAUCCGGAACUGUCAAGCUAGAGUGCAGGAGAGGAAGGUAGAAUUCCCGGUGUAGCGGUGAAAUGCGUAGAGAUCGGGCGGAAUACCAGUGGCGAAGGCGGCCUUCUGGACUGACACUGACACUGAGGUGCGAAAGCGUGGGUAGCAAACAGGAUUAGAUACCCCAGUAGUC
rnacentral:rRNA from 1 species